CUCUCUCUUCCUUCUAAAUCUCACCCUACCCUGUGUCUUCAUCCUCAUUUGUCUCAAACACCAUAUUUCAUCUUCGAUAUGAGAGAAGGGAAACCUCCAUUUUGUCUUCAUCCUCAUUUGUCUUCAUCCUCCAUUUAACCGUCCACCGCCGGAUCUCCCCCUGGCCCCUCCAUUGUCGUCGGCCUUCCACACAUCUCCGUCGCCAGUCACCCACCCUCAUCGACUCCGUCUUUUCUGCUUUUUUACACUUCUUCAAUGGGCGUCGUACGGACGUAUGAGAGCCGGAGAUUUGAGAUCGAAGAGUUUCGCUGGAUGAUAGCCGGAGAUCUGAGAUCGAAGAGUUUCGCCGGAGAUCCUGUUCCGCCGAAGAUCCUGUUCCGCCUCGUCCUCGAAGUCACCACGGAAGACGACAUCAAUCACCGGCGACGACGGUGUUUGGCGGUGGUGGUGUUGGAGGUGGUUGCUGUGUGAGCGGCGGCGGUGAACGAUGGUGAGGGGGUGGGUGAAGGGGGUGGUCUAUUUAUUUGCAAAGCGGUGCCGGUGGUGCCACCGUGGUGCCCCGUGGUGCCCGCACGGUGCCGUUGGUGCCCCGUGGUGCCGGUGGAUGGAUGAUGAUGAAUCAGGAUGAUGCUGUUUUUUUUUUAGUUUUGUUACUUUGUGAAUCAGGAUGAUGCUGUUUUUUUUAGUUUUUCGUAAAACGUAACCCCCCUCUCGCUUCCUUUUACCGUACUGAAGUCGGAUGGAUGAUGAUGAAUCAGGAUGAUGCUGUUUUUUUUUUAAUUUUGUUACUUUGUGAAUCAGUUUGAUGUUACUAUUAGUUUAGCCGGUCGAUUUCUUUAUAACAUUGCUUUUGGAUAAUAAACUUCUUUUAGGAUUCUUGAUCUC